rnacentral:rRNA from 1 species
GAUGAACGCUAGCGGCAGGCUUAAUACAUGCAAGUCGAGGGACAGCACAGGUAGCAAUACUGGGUGGUAACCGGCAAACGGGUGCGGAACACGUACACAACCUUCCUUUAAGUGGGGGAUAGCCCAGAGAAAUUUGGAUUAAUACCCCGUAAUAUAGUUGAAUGGCAUCAUUUGAUUAUUAUAGCUACGGCGCUUAAUGAUGGGUGUGCGGCUGAUUAGAUAGUUGGCGGGGUAACGGCCCACUAAGUCUACGAUCAGUAGCUGAUGUGAGAGCAUGAUCAGCCACACGGGCACUGGGACACGGGCCCGACUCCUACGGGAGGCAGCAGUAAGGAAUAUUGGUCAAUGGACGCAAGUCUGAACCAGCCAUGCCGCGUGAAGGAUUAAGGUCCUCUGGAUUGUAAACUUCUUUUAUUUGGGACGAAAAAGGGCCUUUCUAGGUCAACUGACGGUACCAGAUGAAUAAGCACCGGCUAACUCCGUGCCAGCCGCCGCCGUAAGAC